UACGGGGGGGGGCAAGCGUUGUUCGGAAUUACUGGGCGUAAAGGGUUUGUAGGUGGCCGGCUAAGUCAGACGUGAAAUCCCUCAGCUUAACUGGGGAACUGCGUCUGAAACUGAUCGGCUCGAGUGCAGGAGAGGAACGCGGAAUUCCAGGUGUAGCGGUGAAAUGCGUAGAUAUCUGGAGGAACACCGGUGGCGAAGGCGGCGUCCUGGUCCUUGACUGACGCUGAGGCGCGAAAGCGUGGGGAGCAAACAGG
rnacentral:rRNA from 1 species